rnacentral:lncRNA from 1 species
CAACCUCGUACCCAGGAUCUUUCUUUGGGAAAGACCCUGGCUGCGGCUGGUCACGUGCUUCAUCAAAAAUGUAGCGCCUGAGGGGGUGUGGGGAAAGUAUCAAAUUACAUCAACAUGCUUCCAGUGGGAUAUUCGUUAAAAACAUAGAUUUUGCGAAUUAUUACGUUCAAAAUACUUGCUAAUUUUUGUUUAUUUUCUUUGCUUUGAAUUUACAAGAACAUUGUUACAUCCUUACUUACAGUCAAGUCAAGAAACCAAGCAAAUCGUUACUCGCAGUGCUCUCUCGUGUUGUUAUUCAAUGCAUGCUCUCUUCACACUCGAGCGCGGUUAUAACAAACGUUUGUUGUAAUGUUUUUAAAAUAGGCCAUUACAUUUGUCCUUUCUUGUAAACGUUGAUACGCUUUGCACCGAUUCACUUGUUAUUACGCGUCUUGUUUAUAAGAUUUUUAAAAGAAACAGUAUUGUCUAGGACUGGCCCAAAUAUUAGCAAAUGUAAACAUUUGAUAAUAGCCGAACAGAGAAAUGUCCAUAAGCAUAGAGGAAAUUUCAGUCAUUGAUUUAUCUGGAUUUACUCCAUAAAUUCGUAUUCGGUAAUUAUAGUAAGACUUUAGCCUUUUUCUUGGUCUCUAUUAAUCAUUAUAUUGUGCUAAUAUACUAUAAUCUAUAUCACAAAUUUACAGUGUCAGAUGCGCACAGACCGUCAUUUGGCGUCAUACGAAUAGACAUAAAUUUUCGAGUUUUCUACUUCUACUAACAUUUUUAAAGUAUUCAUUGUGAAUCACCUGUUUAUCUCUAAUUCAUUAAUCAUUUGCUACUUGUAUUUAUUUGAUAGUGUCAAUGUCAUAUAGUGAAUAAUGCGUUUACACACAAGCAAUCCUGGAUAUGAUAUAGACGAUGCAAGCUGUCCAUUAAAAAAUAACGGUAUUCUAUUUCACAAAGCAAAAAUUUAAAUCUCACUUGUAUAUAUUAAGAAUGCAUAUAAAGCAAAAAAUUAAAGCUUAUUCAUGUCAAAACGAAAGCUGUUUACAAAAUUUAUAAAGGUGGUGAACACUACUAAACAGUGCUCAUUGAAAGACAUGUAUAAUAUAGUGACAUAUAAUUUGCCGUUUGACUUAUCUUUGGUGUAUGAUUUUAAUACCGUAGAUUUUCAACAGACAGCUAUACUUUGACAUAUACCAUGAUCGUUGGAUUCAGCAAUGCCAAGGGCCAAUUUUAUAGUCUUUUGACGGGCUUUAAGUUUUUUGAUGAGGCCUUUACAUAGAUCAACAAUCUGGAUACAGUUGGCGAUAUUUCGGAAAUCAAAAGAUCUCGCUAUUUCGUUGCAAUUCCACAUCUCAUCAAUAAAUAAAUUCUUUUGGUCCGAGUAUCAGGAUAAACUUUAAUACUAAAUAAAUAACAACCACACUGUUCGGUCUAGAGAUAUAUAUUUUCUUGCAGGUUUAAUCACAGUUUAAUAUUGCCACGCUGCACAAGCGGCAAGCGUGCUUUCUUUGGCAAGUCUAUAAUGAAAUCUGAUCCAACUUGCUUUAAUUGUAGCUCGACACCAGAUUAUAGAGUAGAACGUCACGACAUAAAUAUUAAUUCAAGAGUUCUCUUUAUAAUUACGAUUUCUUGUUGCAAAUUUACAGUAAAUUUCAUCACCCAAAGUUGCAAUUUUAAAACGCUACAAACACUCUCCUUUCCCACCCCUCUCACAGUUACAAUUAAAUUUACCUCCCAAAAUCUGGGAGGCACGUGACCAGCCGCAGCCAGGGUCUCUCCCAGAUGACAGACGGAGAGACCCUGGGAACGAGGUUGCGUUUGUCUAUGUUAUUAAAACAACAUUUCCAGUUGACCUUUUAUACAAUAGUACUCUGAUUUUCCAUUUAACAUACAAGCCUCUAAUCCUGGGCUAGGGUACAUUUUGAUUUACGUUGGACAAAGAUACAGUUCGGUCGGACACCAAUACACUCAGGUCGGACAAACAAUAAACCUCAGUUUCACUUUGGUCGGACAGAAUGUCCGGUGGUUUCCUUUCUACGUCGGACAAUUUCAUGAAUGGGUCGGACAAUGUCCGUGACCGACCGAUAUUUUAAGGCCUGAUAGACUCCAUUUAAUUUACAUGCUACCAUUUUACCAGUAAGAAUUUUUGAAAAUUUUGUGAUUUGAAAGCUGUUGCAUUUCAACUAUACCGAGCACAACUAUAAAUAAAUUCUUUGUACGUAUAAAAUAGGUACGCCGUACAAAUGGCAAGUUCAAAGCAUGCAUGGGCAGUGUAGGCAGUUGCGAUAUUGAAAAAAAUCGAUAUAUCGAUAUUGAAAAAAAAUAUCGAUAAUAUCGAAUUUUGUAAAUGAGAAAACGUAAUUUAGUCAACUUGCAUGUAUAUGCAUCACAAACAGUUCAAAACAGUGCAUGAAACCAGUCAUGGUACGUCUCAAAGAUUUAUUAAAACAACAGUUUAUCCGUUUAUGAAAGUUUAAAGAUAUGGUUAUAUGGUACGUUGUCUAAACUUCACCGCUGAAAACAAUAAUUGCCGAAUAAUGAGAGAUUAAGUUGUUUAGUUACAACUUUCGAUAUUUUCGAUAUGCGAAAAAUCGAAUAUUGAUAUUUUUGAAAUAUCAAUAUUUAUCGAAAAUAUCGAUAUAUCGCAACUGCCUAGGGCAGUGGCAUUUCAACUUUAUUAUUUUUCCAAGGUCUCUGUGAGACUUUGACUCAUUCACCAUGAACAAAAGCAGUACAUGUAAAAAGAAAGGCGCCGCUUUUUGGGUGUACUGUUUGUACAUGUUGAAUGGCUGGAAGUGUUGCAGGUAUCUUGGGAUAUCUAAUAAAGUUGUGAUGUUAUUUCAGUGCUGUUUCUAUANNNNNNNNNNNNNNNNNNNNAAAGAUUUAUUAAAACAACAGUUUAUCCGUUUAUGAAAGUUUAAAGAUAUGGUUAUAUGGUUUCACAGCACGUUUGUUCUCAAUUGCCGCCAUACGUACGUUGUCUAAACUUCACCGCUGAAAACAAUAAUUGUCGAAUAAUGAGAGAUUAAGUUGUUUAGUUACAACUUUCGAUAUUUUCGAUAUGCGAAAAAUCGAAUAUCGAUAUUUUUGAAAUAUCAAUAUUUAUCGAAAAUAUCGAUAUAUCGCAACUGCCUAGGGCAGUGGCAUUUCAACUUUAUUAUUUUUCCAAGGUCUCUGUGAGACUUUUACAUGUACUGCUUUUGUUCAUGGUGAAUGAGUCAAAAGAAAGGCGCCGCUUUUUGGGUGUACUGUUUGUACAUGUUGAAUGGCUGGAAGUGUUGCAGGUAUCUUGGGAUAUCUAAUAAAGUUGUGAUGUUAUUUCAGUGCUGUUUCUAUAAAGGGCAGCCUUGCUAUGGCUAUAUGCCUUAGCCUAAAAAAAUAGUGUUAUUAAACUACAUGCUAAAAGUUUCUAUUGGCUGUUAGAAUGGUGGCUUGUAAGUGGGGGUAUCUUGCUAGGAUUUGCACAUUUAAAUAUUUACAAGUGCAUUAGGUCUCUUAGGUUUUAGUUUAAGACCAACAUGAGCGAGUGAGAUAAACUCGACUAGCUUAAGAUAAGGCAUCAAGCGUGAAAUUCACGCAUUAGACCCCUCAGGAUCGGACCCCAAACCUUUUUUCAACACCAAAUGUGAAAUUACCCCAACCUUACCACAUCGUUGAAGAAUUAUGGUGGAUAUCUUGGGCAAAUGUGCAUUUUCUUGGUGGAUAUCUUGGGCAAAUGUGUAAUACCAUGAGGAAUAUCUUGGGCAAAUGUGCAUUUUCUUGGUGGAUAUCUUGGGCAAAUGUGCAAAUACCAUGAGGAAUAUCUUGGGCAAAUAUGCAAUAUGAAGGAUAUCUUGGCAAAUAUCUGGAUAAAUUGGUAUAUAUGAUUACUUGUCUUAAAUUACUAAAGAAGGAUGGUGUUGUAACGUUAGGCGAGACUUUUUUUAUUCAUUGGUUUAUGGAUCUGCCAACCGUAAAUAUUCAGAAAGUAAAAAAUAAAAUAAAAAUUUGGAUGUCAAAAAAUUUUACAAUUUUAGUUAAUUUUAAUUAAUUUGGGGUUCUGACAUGAAGAGCAUUUCAAGUGAACUUUGAGUCUAGGUACUGCUGGCUCAUGUUAUCGUUGUGACUAUCAAUAUGGAUAUUAGCCACGGUUUUUUGCUUUUUGUUUUUAAAUUGACGUUAAAAAAUUUUAUUAAGAUUAUGAAAUGUGGUUCUCAUUUAUACUCAGUUCGGUUUUUUUUAAAAAAAUUUUCCGACCUACCGACCUCUUAUUUUUAAAAGUCAAAUCCGUAAACCAAUAAAUAAAAAAAGUCUUGCCUUAGUGGAUAUUGGGUCGUUCCAGAAAAGAUCCACACUCCCCCCACGGAGGAAAUUUCUGCUGUCCGGAGGGGGAGGGGAGAAAAAAUUGUUUCUGAUAAUAGUAAAUGUAUUGGGACAUCCGAAGGGGGUAGGGGGGUUAACUUCCAAUUUCCUCUGUGUGGGUGGUAUGGAUGUUUUCUGGAAUGCCCCAUUUAUAAUAUUGAUAAAAUGGGGGUUCCCUGAGAAUUGGAACGAAGUAAGGCUGCCCGAUUAAGUGGAAACAAUAUGGCAAAUUUCAAUAUGGCGGAGUGUAACAAUCUAACAAUAUGGCGGCCUGAUAAAUCUGUAAAAAUGAUACAUGUUUAGAACAUGCAAAGAGCAAAAAAUUGUGGCAUGAACAUGUCACGAAACAUGCUUCUUACAACUACAUGCUAUGUUCAUAGGAAUUUGAAUAAGUUUUUAGUGGGGCCAAAAAAAUAUGUGGGUUUCCGGUUUCUUCUUAUAAAAACUUGGGUAGGGUAGGUCAGUUUUAAGUUUUUUUUAAACUUUUUUUAAAAUUUUGCUAACAACCGGACGCCAUUUUGUUUAGUCAGUGCUUCCACAUCCAAAGAUAAAUUUCCCAAAUAUUCCCUCGAAUUUCAAUUUUACACAAACUUUUUCCUCUAAGUGGAAACACAAGCAUGACCCAAUAAAAAAGUUUAGGGUCGGGAUUUCGACGUCCGAAAGGUAGGUAGGGUUGGGAAACCGGAAACCCACAUUUUUUUGCCUAGGCAUGAUUUUUGUUUUAUUUUCAUUUAUGAUUUUCUAUCAAUGCCCCAACUAGUUUAUAUGUAAUGUAUAACAUAUUUUGUAAUAUAGAAAAUAAUAGAGUUCAUAUAAUGUUUAUGUAUCUAAUACAACUACAUGCUGUGUUGAUAGGAAUUUGAAUAAGUUUUUAGGGUUGAAUAAGUUUUUAGUACGCAUGAUUUAGAAUUUUUGUUUUUAUUUAUGAUUUUGUAUAAAUAAUAUAUGGUUGUAAAAUUUAUAAUUGACACAUGGACUAACAGUUCCCACAACAGUAUGCAUUAUAAGUCGUUGAUCAGGAAAAUAUAAUAUUUCACAAAGUGAAAAUUCUUUGUGUACUAUUAAUAUUAAAUAUAUUUUCUUGUAACACGUUUGUGACGAGAUUGCUUUCUUUAAUAAUAGAAUAGAAACUUUAUUUCACGAGGAAAAACGUAUUAACCAUAAAAGUUAUUGAACAUACGGCCCUCGCACUAUUUUGAUAUUUGAGAGGUGCAUCUGAAUAAUUUGUCUAAAUAUUGAAAUCUGAUUUAUGUUCAUUCUGUACACAAUAACCUUUGAUAUUCCUUAUUGUGUAACUUGAUAGCGUUCACGACAAACAAAAUAUGCAAGUAUUAAAUAUAUUUUCUGCAUGAUUUCUGUGUCAUUUCUUUGCUAACUCCUUGCUCAGUGACAAAACAUACUUAAUUUUGUGAUUUAGAAAGUAGAGUUCCCAUAAAAUAUAUGUAUCUAAUACAACUACAUGCUAUGUUGAUAGGAAUUUGAAAUAAAUUUUUAGUAGGCAUGAUUUAGGAUUUUUGUUUUAUUUUUAUUUUUAUUGAGUGUUGAACAUGUUCAACGCGAGAAAUAAAUCUGGUAUUUCCAAGCACCCAUGUAUUUUUCUGUUUAUUAUAAGGACAGUCUUUGAAAAGCGAUAUUUUUUUACAGAAAGGCGAUAAUUGAAAAGCAUUUCACACGUGAGAUUAUCACUUUUAUCGGUGCUUGAAAUCUCUAUAAAGCACUGUACUGUAUAUAAUAAUAAUGUAUAAUACAUAGAUUGCAAGUUUUGUAAUAUAGACAACAAUAGAGUUUGUAUAAUGCUUAUGUAUCUAAUACAACUACAUGCUGUGUUGAUAGGAAUUUGAAUAAGUUUUUAGGGUUGAAUAAGUUUUUAGUAGGCAUGAUUUAGGAUUAUUGUUUUUAUUUAUGAUUUUCUAUAAGCGAGGGGGCAAAGCAGCAUUCUAAUACCUACAGACAGGGGGUUUUGAAGUAAAUUUUAUUUAGGGUUUUGCAUUGUUGUGCUUGUUAUGUGCAGACUAACAGUGUCCCACAGUAGUAUGAUGCAUUAUAAGUUGUUGAUCAGGAAAAUAUAAUAUUUCACAAAGUGAAAAUUCUUUGUACCUAUGUGUGUUUUAGUUACGAUGAAGUGGCUUAGGAGUAUAAGUGUUUUUCUCCAUUUUAUAAAAGUAUGCAGUAGUUUUACCGUGAUGUUUGUUUUAUUAUUUUUUUUACACAAGUAUAUAUAGUGUUAUUAAUGUUGCAAGGUUAGCGAUAAAAUGGGAAUUCCCUGUGAUUAGAACUGAAGUAAGGCUGAGCAGAGUGUAACAAUCUGCACAUUUAGAACCUGUAAAAGCAAAAAAAUGCAGCAUAAACAUACCAUGAAACAUGAUUCUCGUGACUACCUGGCAUGUUGCUACCAAUUUGAAUAAGUUGAUUUAAUUAAUGAUUUAAAGAUUUUGGUUCUAUUUUCAUUUAUGAUUUAAUUUUUAUAAAUGAGGUGGGACCCCAACUGCUUUGAGAGAUAAUGAUGUAUAAUAUAUAGAUUAUAUGUAUUUACUGUCGUUCCAAUUGAAGUGUUGCUCAAAUAUUGAUUCAAUAUGCGCUGACCAAUUCAUUUCAUCAAGUUCCUCGAGAUAUUCAUACACUUCCUAGUAUAAUUGUAAACUUCCUGUUGAAUAGUUUGAAUGCACCAAUCACCUUUGUUGUUUGUGCAACUAACCAAUCAUAAAUAGAAAGGAAGUGACCAGAAAUGAUCAAAUACUUGGAAUUAGAUCUUUCACAGGAAGUGUAUGAAUAUCUCGAGGAACUAGAUCAAAUGAAUUGGUCAGCCAGAGGUAAUGUAUUGAAUCAAUAUUUGAGCAACACUUCAAUUGGAACGACAGUAAUACAACUAUAUGGUAGGAUAGGAAUUUCAAUAAGUUUUUAGUAGGCAUGAUUUAAAGAUUUUUGUUCUAUUUUCAUUUAUGAUUUAAUUUUUAUAAAUGGGGGCCCCAACUGCUUUCAGAUAUAAUGAUGUAUAAUAUAUAGAUUAUAUGUAUUUAAUACAACUAUAUGGUAGGAUAGGAAUUUCAAUAAGUUUUUAGUAGGCAUGAUUUAGGAUUUUUGUUCUAUUUUUAUUUAUGAUUUCAUUUUUAUAAAGGGGGCCCCAACUGCUUUGAGAUAUAAUAAUGUAGAAUCAAUGGAUUAUAUAUGUAUUUAAUUAAUACAACUAUGUGGUACGAUAGGCAUUUGAAUAAGUUUUUAGUAGGCAAGAUUUAUGAUUUUUGUUCUAUUUUCAUUUAUGAUUUAAUUUUUAUUUAAUUGGUGCCCAAAUCACAGCGAGCCCAAGCGUUGAUCUGUGUUAGUGUUGUAUGUUUUUUCAGUUUAUUUAUUUUUGUGUCUUUAUAUUGCCUUUUAAUUGAAUUAUAAUACUAAAUUACACUAAUAUGUCAUAUAAUAAUAAUACUCCUAUUGUCGAACAUAUAAUAACAACAUAUAAGUUGAUUUGUAUGUUUUUCAGUUUAUUUAUUUAAGAUCUAUUAUUAGCUUAUAUAAACACACCACCUUUCGAACCUGACAGCCAGUUCGCAGGAUACACAGGUUAUUUCGCACUGAAAUAAGAAAUGUGACAAGGGAUGAAAUUACAAGACGGCGAUGUUCUAUUUUGAAGCCGUAUGUGCUUUUGUUAAAACGAAUUUUAGCUUGAAAUUCGGCUACAUGAUAUGUCCAAGGCUAAAGUACAUAGCCAUUGAAAAAUUUUGUGAAAUAAAAGCCCUAGAGUCUUAUAAAUUGCUAUAGUUUUUAAUAGCGACGUUUCGUAGCAUUAACGACUUGACUGGACCUAAUGUAUUUAAUUUUUAAUUUUAAACAUUGAAACCGUUACAGUCGACAAAAUUGGCUUCUCACCUUGAGUUGUAUUUGAGUUUGCUUCCUUGUUUAUAUAAUUGAUUCCUAAAUGUUGGUGGCGUUAUUCGACAUGACACUCAUUGAAUAAUUAUCGGUCCACUCAAGUCAGGGCAUUCAUAAUACAACAAACUUUAAGAGUUUUAUCCCUUGUCACAUAUUUAUAUUGUUGCCACCCCCUUAUUUCAAAUCCUGUGUGUAUCCUGCGAACGGGCUGUCAGGUUCUUCGAAAGGCGGUGCUUUCAUAUAAGCUAAUAAUAGAUCUUCAAUAAAUAAACUGAAAAACAUACAAAUCAACUUAUAUGUUGUUAUAUAUGUUCGACUAUAGGAGUAUUAA